rnacentral:rRNA from 1 species
GUCCAUGCCGUAAACGAUGAUAACUAGAUGUGUGAGGUAUUGACCCCUUACGUGUCGAAGCAAACGCGAUAAGUUAUCCGCCUGGGGAGUACGGUCGCAAGAUUAAAACUCAAAGGAAUUGACGGGGGCCCGCACAAGCGGUGGAGCAUGCGGUUUAAUUCGACGCAACGCGAAGAACCUUACCUAGGCUUGACAUGUACGGAAGUCCUUAGAAAUUUGGAUGUGCUCGCAAGAGAACCGUAACACAGGUGCUGCAUGGCUGUCGU